rnacentral:lncRNA from 1 species
GAAGUCAUCGAGUAAUGGGAAUGGAAUUUGCGAUACCACCCCGUUUUUUAAUAAAUCGAGAUAUCUGGCUCCAUUUGUUCAAAGUUUUGGGCGAUGGCAGCGUUGCGAGCGUCGGCAGAACAUGCAAAUGGCUGUAUUUUUUCGCAAGAGAUGAAUUGACGUCAAGGGCAGGGCGUUACUUGAGAAGCACUAAUAUGUGGAAACAUCUAUUCUACCCGGAACAAGGUUAUUAUGCAAAACUUAUGGAUGGCAACCAUAAUGAGCUGGAAGGUAUUUGGUGGUCGAGAUGCGUUUGUGAACAUCAUCAGAACGUGUUUCUGAGGCAAAAGUGUCCAUGCGCGGUCUGCUCCAUAAAAGGUUACAUGAGAAUCCUAGGGCCCAAUUUCACCGGGACAAUUGCAAUUCAGCAGAUAAGGGUGUAUCGCGAAAAUCCAUAUUCGCCCAUCAAGUACAUAGAUGCAAGACCGACGCCAAAUAUGAGGCCCGAAAUACAGAGUUGGGAUUUGCAGAUUUUAAACAACAGGGAAUCAGUGACGGAAUCGGGGUAUAAUGGGACGUCCCCUUUGGUAGCUUUUACUGUACCUGGAUGUGAUUAAAUGUAUCAUGUUCUGGCCGGUUUCCUAUACCUCUUCACUCGCCUAUUCACUAUCUCGCUGCAUGAUUUGCUGUCAGAAGAAUCAUAACGUCGUGCCUGUGGUGUUAUCGGCUUGCAAAAAAGGCCUUCAAGGGAUCUUGACUUACUCUAUAGAGAGGGCCACAAGGUUUUCGAUGGCCAUGAUAUUAUAGAGGGCUUGGCGAAACAGUAUGCGCGUGACAUAAAGUUCUGGAUCGAGGAAUUUGAUGCUUUUUGUCUUAUCUCGUAACAAAACAGAGCGAAUUAAUAAAUGAACGUGAUUCAAUAAACCGGGCAAAAGCAUGAUGUUUAUCCCAACUAUGCGCGGCUGAUGAAUCCGCCCCCCGAGCCUUGGAAGGACAUGUUGUUCGGUAUUGUAAUUAAAUAGCCAUUUCAAAACGCAUUCGGUGACGGAAAUUAUGACAUUAACUAAAUACGGUUAGAGCAU